rnacentral:rRNA from 1 species
GUGGGGAAUAUUGGACAAUGGGGGGAACCCUGAUCCAGCCAUGCCGCGUGUGUGAAGAAGGCCUUUUGGUUGUAAAGCACUUUAAGCGAGGAGGAGGCUACCGAGAUUAAUACUCUUGGAUAGUGGACGUUACUCGCAGAAUAAGCACCGGCUAACUCUGUGCCAGCAGCCGCGGUAAUACAGAGGGUGCAAGCGUUAAUCGGAUUUACUGGGCGUACAGCGCGCGUAGGUGGCCAAUUAAGUCAAAUGUGAAAUCCCCGAGCUUAACUUGGGAAUUGCAUACGAUACUGGUUGGCUAGAGUAGGGGAGAGGAUGGUAGAAUUCCAGGUGUAGCGGUGAAAUGCGUAGAGAUCUGGAGGAAUACCGAUGGCGAAGGCAGCCAUCUGGCCUAAUACUGACACUGAGGUGCGAAAGCAUGGGGAGCAAACAGGAUUAGAAACCCGUGUAGUCC